GCCUCUGCAGGUCCUGGUUAGGCCCCUCCUUCCCCUUGUGUGUGUGUUUCCUUUUUAGGAAGGAGUGACAGCAGACAGCAGCGGCAGGUGUAGACAGUUCUCAUCUGAGCAAUCAGCAGAAGUGGGAGCAGAUGUGCAGAACCAAUCAGUCCACCACUCCAUCACUUUAUAACCUGACUCUUCUCUUCAUUCUUUGUUGGAUCGUAAAAACCUAGACUGCUCCCAGAUUUGGACUCCUCGGACCCACCUACCGGCCUUCCCCCACCGUCAGGAUUAGUCACCCGGUUCAUUCUCCAACCAUUCCUCCGUCGACUACCAGCUCCUGUCCUCACCAGCCGUCGCCGCUGCAGCCGCACGUCCAUUCCUCCGUUCCAUCGUCGAGCCACAGCCAGCCAUCCCUCCUAGAUGCCAGCUGAGUACCCGUCCGAGCAGACUCCGUUAGUGUUUGUAGUUCUUAAAGAAUAAAAGUGCUAUAGUAGUUUUUUGUUUACAGGACCCCAGCUCAUAGUUAGAGUUCCAAUAGCCGUAAUGUUUAGCUUCCUAGUUGUUGGUUAUUCCACUUAAAACAUUUGAGUUUCUAGUUUGCGUGUCUUGUGUGACACUUUAGUUUGGGUGGCUUCCUUAAUAGGCCUUUUGUUUUCUGAACUUGCUAUAGAAAUUUGAGCUAGUGUAAGCUGUAGUUCUCCUGCCCAGGAAUUACCUGUUGUGGGUCCGCCAGCCACUAGAGGCAACAAUCAGUUCUAGUUAAAGUCGUUAUCCUGUUGUUCCGGUACUCCCGGUAUUUUGAGUUUCUCUGGGAAUUGUAGUUCGUUAUCCCUUGUUUUUGAAUAAAAGACUAUUACCGCAUAGUCUGACUCCAUCUCUUCCCUGCAUCUGAGCUUUUAAGAUAACAAAACCUAACACACUGACUUCAUUCUGGGGACAAUCAAAGUAGUAGAACAAGUUACCCAUUUAUCAUAAAGUUGGCAGUUUGAUCCCCAUUUACCAUUCUUUGGGCCUAGAGGUUGCUGCUUGUUUCAGCAGUGUUGAAUUUUUAAAACACCAUCAUCUUAAGAACAUCUGAUUUCCCUCCUAAAAGACAUACUUCCGUUAUGGUCAAUAUGCUGAUUCUGAUUAGAUGAUAAACCUAUGCAUAUAUUGGCUAAAAAAACCACCAGUAAACACCACAAAUGCUGCUGCCACAGUAAAUAAAUGGCCAACAUUAUCCCAUUUACUUUAGCAGACAAUGGUCCAGUAUAUACUACACCGAAUUGGGUGCAUGGGGAAGCUUUGAACCCUUAGUUAGGAACAUUGCUAAGGAAAAAACAUUACCUGACUGCAACCCACGAGUUACUCCAUGGUCCUACUCUGAGGACAUCUGGUGGGAGCUGGGAAUGUAGCUGCAAACACAAACAGUGCAGGACAAAAUAACCCAGUCUCCUAAAAAUUGCACUCUCAUACAAUUAAACAACUAAACUGUUUUCCCAAUGGUGUUUAGUGCAACAUCAUUUCGGGUGGGAACUUUUUUUAAGGAAUGAAGCACCAUAUUUAUGGACUGCUACAGAGCCAGGAAAAGAUGGUUGGGCUUAAAAGGUGAAUAAAUGGUUGAAUGAAGCCCACACCUCAGGUAAAUGUCUUAAGUUACAGAGGAUUUUUUUUUUUCUAAUUAAACCAAACCACAUCUAUGGAAGCAGAUAGUGUACUGCAUGGUCAGGUAUUUUAGUGGACAAAAUAUGCUGUGAGUGCAUUGUGUUUGUCAGAUAUUUGCCAAACUGGAGUUUCCCCUUAACAUUUCAAGUUGACAUAAUAUUUCCUUGCAGACAUCAAAACAUAUCUGCUGUUGCAAUUUAACUGUAUGGGAGUGCAAUUUCUCCAAGUCAAGGUUGCAAUACAUGUGUAUGGGAGAAAGCCAGCGCCAUUUUUUUUCCUCUCCAAUAUGUUACAUGGAUCUUUGUUUCAGCAGCCUGUGGCGAUAUUUUUUCUCUGCUGUCAGAAUCUGAGCAAGAACAGAAUAUGAGAGAAGAGAUUGGAAACAUCACAGAUAGUGUGACAGUGAGAAUGAAUAAGAAUGGAGGAGGAAGUAGGACACAGGAAGGAAUUAUGAAGUUUAAAAAAUGGAUAUGUAUGCUUCCCCCAGUGCAUAAUUUGUUCUUCAGGACGUUUUUUUCUUUCCUUUUUUUUGAAGGAGGGGUGGUGUUGGGGAGGGUUCAGGUGUGGCUCUGCCUGGACAAGCGAGGAUAAUCAGAGCAGAGAUGCAGAAACUCUAAGUGAACUUUGCAAAGUCUACCAGGCUCAUUCAAUACAAGCAGGAGCUUAGGGAGAGCAAGGGAGGCACACAUUGUUGUUCUGGAUUUACCAUGCAAAUGUUUUUAGUCAUGCAUGGAUUAAGAACAAUAAAAGCCACUUUAACACCGGAGACCUCAGUUUAAAAUGUUUUCAUGCCUGGCAGACUCAGCUCGACUCUUAAGAAGGUACAGCAAAGUGGGUGUCAGCAAUGAUUAUGUUGCCCUAGAGUGAUCUAUAAUGGAAACACUCUCAAGAUAGAUGGGGAGGUUCACCUUUCCAGGCAAAAACACCUCCUCCUGGCUGAUUUUUAUUAUGCGAAAAGAAUAAAAUAGAGGUUAGAAUUUCAAGUUGUUUUUUUUUUUUUUUUUUUUGACUUUGAUGACCUCCAACCAAAGACCUUUUAUUUCUUCUGGUCUUUCUAUACAUAGAUGCGUUCAGAAAGGUGAGGGAACAUCAUUCCCUUUGCACCUUGAGGUCCUAUGACUCAGACCUACUUCAUAAUAAUUUAUGUUUUCAUUGGAAAGGAAAUGUUCAUCAUCCCCGGAGCUUUCACAUACAUGGAGUCACUGUUCCCUCUAAGCUGCGCGCGUGCGCAAUUGCGCACUGCUGACACGGUCUCCGCGCACAGAAAAUCUGCGCUGCACAAAAAAAAAAUCCAGCCUAAAUUGUAAAUAAAAUAAACACGUAACAAUUCAUUCUGUGCUAUUUUUCAAUGUGAGUCAGUGAGUGAGCGGUGACUGGCUGCUGCAGCCAAUGAUGCGAUUCACAUACGUAUUUACCAUAGACUGUAUAUUAUGGUAUUUACGCAGCUAAUCAACGUCAGGCGUCCUUAUGUGCAGCUACCGUUGUUCUCAUAGAUAUGAAUGAGUAGAUAGGACACGCCCCUUUGAGCUGCGUGCUACAGCGAGGCUAAGCUAGUGGGGGAAAAGUUUCAGUGCAUUCCGUUGAUGUAGACGGCGUGAAAACGGAAACAAGUAUGCCGUCUCACUGUGCUGCAUACAGUUACACACUACGUCGUACGAUUGAGACAAGGAAACUUGGAAUGACUUUUCAUAGGUUUCCCAGAGACUAUGGGUUGAGGAGGAAGUGGAAGUUUGUCGGCUUAGACCUGGUGUCAUUCCAUCAGUGUUAAACUUCCCGGCUCAUCUUGGAAGAGUACGUGCCAGAAAGACCACGACCAAGCAGCCUUGAGAUCUUAGGCAGCGUCUCCCUGAGGUCCCUCUCUAUCUCCCCACACAUCCACCAACCACUGGAACACAUCUCCAAAGUUCUGCUGGACCAGCUCAGCUUCCCCUCAGAAGAAGUGCUGCCACCUGCCAGAUGAAGGAGCCUUUUGAGAGGCAGCUGGCAUCGUGAUUGGACUGUACUUUGGUCUGUUCCAAUCCAGCUUCAGCUCCAGAGACGGCAGGCAGGACGAGUCAACGGAGGCCGGGUGGACGAAGGCAUGCAGCUGAGUACAAUCCAGAAAACAACAGAAGAGGAGUGCAGAGCCAGAACAACCAGAGUAGCAUCGUAUGUACAUCAUAGUACAGCCUUUGGUAUGAAAAAACGACAUCAUAUACAUUGUAUAUUGUACAUAUAACAAGUCAAAGGAAAGAGACAUACAUUGUAGAAUUGUAGUAAUUGUGGGCUGACUGAUUUACUGAUUAUCAGUAUUUUAUUUUUUACUGAUUUACGGUAAUACAUUUAAAAAUGGUGCUACUUUGGCUCUGAACCUUUAUCUACCUGUGGUCGCUCUGUCUUCUGGAGUGAUUUGAUUGGUUAUACGUCACGAAUAAAACUCCUUUAACUUAACAUCUGUAAACAAAACAAAAACGUAUCAACAAAGUUUUCUGUUAGAGUUUGUGUUCUUGUAAGUUUAACUCCAAGAUUUUAAAUACUUUCAUUUACUGCAAAUGAAUAUCUACUCCAAAUGUCUCACUAAUAAUCAUUAUCAGCCUUAAAAACCCACAAAACACCCCUCUGUACUCGACCACACUUAGUACAGUCCGGUUCCCCCUUCUAUAAAUCUGCUUGGAAUCUUCCACUUCCUGUUUGUCAAAGUGGCCUUCUACCUGGACAGGUUUUGUUGGAGCUCAUGCAACAAACAUUUUGGGUAACUGCACUUUAAUAUGGAUGGAUGACACUGAAUUAGAGUCUGUUUUAAUGAAACUGAGUUAAGAUGUGUAGCUCUGUCAUUAAAUAGGAAAUUAUUUCUCAGAAUUCAUAGAGAAAAGUCUGAAAUGUUUGCUAGGUUAGCGUCCCACAUGUUCUUUGGCUCAGCUAAAGCUAACUCUCUCCAGCUUCUGGAUCUCUUGAGUUGCUUGUUAAAAUAUCUUGCUAGAGGUGCUGAAGCUCAGAAAGUCUGAGAUGUUUGUUCAAAAUAAGCUCAUUCUCAAGCCUGAUCUGAACUGUCCUCUUUUGUUUGAACUUUCCCUAAACUUAGGAGUUAAUGACAGAGCAGCACAUCCAGACUCAGUCUCAUUUAUGUAGAGAUUAAACUUCAGUGUCAUUCAUUGAUGUUAAAGUGCAGUUUUUCAAAUGUUUGUUGCACAUGCUCCCGACCAAACCAGUCCAGGUGGAAGAUGAUGUGAAGAGAAAGCUCCAGAGGAUGAAUAUCACACAUUUACGUUGGAAAUAAAUGUCCUUUAAUUAGACAUUGUCAUGCAAAAGUUGGAUUUCCCUUUAAUGAUGUUCAAAUCUUUGUUGAGUGUUUUGUUGAUGUUGGUUUCUAAAUGUUUUCUGACACUUGGCCCCAAAGAUUAAAACCUUUUACGGCUCACAAGCUGCAACAAUUUACACAUUAUCAAAUAUCUUUCUGACUAAACUAAGAUAAAAAGUGAAAAACUGCCUCUUUGUGGUUUUUAUGACAGUAAACUGAAUAUAUUUGGGUUUGACAUUUUAUAAACCAAAACAAGAAAUUAAUUACUGGAGAAAACAACAGAUUAAUGGACAAAGAAAAUGUGUUUUCCAACAUAUAUGGCUGAAUUACUCCAACAUUACAAGAUACAUACAAUUUGAAUUCAAUUUUAUUCAUAUAACACCAGUUACAGGUCAAAUUGUCUCAAGACACUUUAUUUUUAUAUUUUUUGUCAUAUUUAAAAUGUGACAGAGUAAGAAAUUUAAACCUCUUGACUGAUCCAAUUUAUUAUUUGGUUUUUAAGAGACUAAUCGACAGCUAAAAUAACUUUCUCCCCUAAAACUAAUAAACAUGAGGUCAAAUAGAAAGAACAGUUUUAAAUACUGCAGUCCCACGAUGACAAGAAUAAAGUUUGUCAACAAAAAUUAAAUCUGCAGGUGGAUUCCAUUAAAGUCCUAAUAAAUGAUAACAAAGUGUGAUACUAAAGGUUUGUGGUGCUAAAAAUGUCAAAGUAAAGAUAUCAAGUUGAACAUCUGGAUGGAGGUUGAUAAAAGUUUACCUCCCUUCAUUUCUCUGGAGCGACUCCAUGGAUUUUAUGGAUGGUGGUUAAAGACCUGCUCUUCUAGUCGUCUUCCUUCUAGUCGCUGUAAAAAGUCAGUCCAUCCUGGCCGACUUCAACACCUCUUCAUGACAGCUUGUUCUGCCUCCGACCUGGUGGAAACUCCAGAAACUCGGGAAAACCCGUCGAGACUCGAAGAACUCGUGGAGACUCGAAGAACUCGU